AGUACUCGGCGCGGCGUGUAAACAUCGCCACGAGGGAGACACAGGAGGCCGCGCGUGGUGCUGGCCACCCACCCACCCACCCCUCGUGUGCCACAGUGCCGGCCUUCAUAGAUGGAGCGCCGGCUAAUGCUUGCUCUCGACGUCCCUGAGAAUGACCCCGGGCCCUUCCCCAAGCGGCUGGUUUAGUCACGAAAGCUUCAAAUCUAGAACACAUGAAAAUGCGCGUUAUCGCAUCGCGGGGCCCGGAGCCGACCAGGACCCCAUCGGGGUUUUCAUCGUGGAUCCUGUGACCGGGUGGCUUUCGGUCAGCAAGACCCUGGACCGCGAGCUCGUCAAAGAGUACCUGACAAACUGGCCGUGACACUGCAGGAGGCAGCGGACUCUGCUCGGGGCGGGCCUAUUACGGCUGCGGGGACACCUGGCCCCGCCGCCCUUCCAACCACACCACAGACACGCCGUGUGGUGGCGUGGUGCGUACGGUUAUGUCCGUAAACUCGGGGGGAUUAUCGUUGAUGUCGGCGAUGGUGACGAUGGCGGUGGCUGUGUUUGUGAGGCCGAUGUCCGGGUCGCCCUCCAAGUCUGAGGCCUGCACCACCAGCACGUACUGCGGCGUCGUCUACAUCGACGGGGCACACAGACAGCACCAAUCACAGACAGACAACGGGGACAAACAUUCAUCGUGCAGCCUCAACAGACCUUUGGGGCAAGUGCCGUUAAGCAAGCGGCCACUGUGGAAGGCCGGCACGCCACACGAGGAGGUGGGUGGCCAGCAUCACGCCCGGCCGCCUUUGUUUCCCUAGUGGGGAUGUUUGCACACUGCAGCAGGUACUAAUUUGAGGCUGAGUCAACUGUCACCAGUGUUGGAUCGAACUCGGGUCCCCGGGUUCGUAGCGGAGCGCGCUCGCCGCGACACUGUCGCUUCCGAGACACACUAGAAGAAGAAGCCACUGGAGCUGAAAACUCGUUUCUUUAGAUCCGCUUUUCAUGUUAAGCCUGUCGCCCUUCCCUCGCACCUCCGGUCAGCGCGAUCGUCUACGUACGGUGCGCGACAGACGCUCAACGUAUGUAUAUACACACCGAAAACACAAAUGUAACACUGUACACGCAACGCCAGAGAUUAGCCACCACCGCCCGGACCGACAUCGGCCAAUCAGCGGCGGUUGCCGCGGGACAACAACCCACCUCGCGGUCCAGCCCGGCGGCGAUGGUGCUGAU